rnacentral:sRNA from 1 species
GUAUUGGGAAGGCAGAUAAAAUGCCAGGUCUGGACUGCCUCUGGGGAUAACCUCACCCUGUGGGAUGUGAAUGAAUAGCAUCUUGCCUGGUAAAUCCACAGGAAUUGAUAAGGCGGGCGCAGUUCUCCCAAACAGGCCUUUUCUCUUUAAGCUCUAGCUGUGGUUUCUGCAGCAAUUUUGUUUUUGCCUUGAAAGAGGUGCUCUGGAUUAUCAGACCUCCAUGUAUGACAAUUUGUACCUGCAUGGAAUUGAAGACUCGGAGGCUGGUUCAGCGGAUUCCUACACAAGCAGGCCGUCUGACUCCGAUGUCUCUUUGGAAGAGGACCGGGAAGCAAUUCGACAGGAGAGAGAACAGCAAGCAGCUAUCCAGCUUGAGAGAGCAAAGUCCAAACCUGUAGCAUUUGCCGUGAAGACAAAUGUGAGCUACUGCGGCGCCCUGGACGAGGAUGUGCCUGUUCCAAGCACAGCUAUUUCCUUUGAUGCUAAAGACUUUCUACAUAUUAAAGAGAAAUAUAACAAUGAUUGGUGGAUAGGAAGGCUAGUGAAAGAGGGCUGUGAAAUUGGCUUCAUUCCAAGCCCACUCAGAUUGGAGAACAUACGGAUUCAGCAAGAACAAAAAAGAGGACGUUUUCAUGGAGGGAAAUCAAGUGGAAAUUCUUCUUCAAGUCUUGGAGAAAUGGUAUCUGGGACAUUUCGAGCAACUCCCACAUCAACAGCAAAACAGAAGCAAAAAGUGACGGAGCACAUUCCUCCUUAUGAUGUUGUGCCGUCAAUGCGUCCGGUGGUGUUAGUGGGGCCGUCACUGAAAGGUUACGAGGUACAAAUAUCAUCUGUUACUCUUCAGUUCUUGAUCGAGCACCCAGGAGACAGUCAUGUUGAUGCUUGCUCCUCAAGGGUCUGUUUCCACGUGGGUUCUGAUGGAAGCCAGUGCUCAGCAUGGGAAGGCAAUGGGUAUCGUGUGGGGCUCAUGAGGCCCUCUGCCCUUUCUUUCCUCUCUUGCACACUUCUCAUCUUUUAUGAAUUACAUUGUUUAGAAAUACCUCCCUCAAAAUAUUUACAAUGGGAAGAUCUGGUCAAAGAUUUGCUAUACAUUAAAUGCAAAGAAAAGGACUUUAUCUCUCUUGACCAUUCUCAUUAUUAUUAGAAGUAAUAGAGAAUGAACAGCACAAGAGGACAAACAAUCAAUCUUCCAGCAAACGCAAACCUUUAAAGCCCAGAGUUCACCCUGCUGGGUUUUUAAGAUGAUGGCAUAUGCCACCAAAUCCUUCUCUCCUUAUUUAUUUUAAAGGGCACAUGUUUUAAAAGACCACUAAAAACAUUAGUGAACUUUGGAGAUUAAACAAAACCAUGUGACAAGGAAAAGAGUAGAGACUUCGUUUCAGAUGUUUGUUUUGACUUUGUGCUAGCAUGGAUUAAAAAAUAGGUAGAUGUGACAUUAAACUCUGAAAGUGAGCAGCCUCCAGGGCACCAUUCCCGUCGAGCUAGGACAAUGUGUGGCACAUAGUAGGCACUCAGUACACAUUUGCUGAAUGAAUUAAUGAAUCUCUUUCAGGCAGAUCUAAGAAUCCUUGCUCUAUCCCCCUCUUUCUCUCUUGUCUUUCUCAGAGUUGGAAAUGUCAGAGGGAUGAGCAGGAGAGUGGUCUACAAAAAUCCAGCCAUGGGCAUGGAGAAUUUCUGCCAACAUACACAAACUAGCAGGAAGGCUGAGUCCAGUGCUGGCCUCAGUUCUCUAGCUGCUCCUCACUGAAGGCAGGCACAACUCAGGCGUGCCAAGGAUACCCAGCACCUGUGUACAAAGCCAGCCUGUUGUCUCCUGGCAGCAGUUCUAUCCCCUAACGAGGGAAGAGGGAAGAGGGUCUGGUGAACACUGCUGGUUUAUUCCUCAACACCCUGGAGGAGAACCAAGGGGGGUGGAAAUUAGCAAUUGCACAUGGUUAAGCAUGAAAAACACCUUCCAUGGUAACCUACCCCUAGGAGACGAAUGGCUGCAAUAAGGUCUUGGCUCAUAGUGCCCUUCCCUCCCUCCUCUCUCACUUUUGACUUCUCUCUCUCUCUCUCUGCGUGUGUUUGCCUCAUUCUUUUUUUCUCACCUCUGCAAAGGUAACAGACAUGAUGCAGAAAGCCCUCUUUGAUUUCCUGAAGCACAGGUUUGAUGGGAGGAUAUCAAUAACGAGAGUGACAGCUGACAUUUCUCUUGCUAAGAGGUCUGUCCUAAAUAAUCCCAGCAAGAGAGCAAUAAUUGAACGUUCGAACACCCGGUCCAGCUUAGCGGAAGUACAAAGUGAAAUUGAAAGAAUCUUUGAGUUGGCAAGAUCUUUGCAACUGGUUGUUCUUGAUGCAGACACCAUCAAUCACCCAGCACAACUUAUAAAGACUUCCUUAGCACCAAUUAUUGUUCAUGUAAAAGUCUCAUCUCCAAAGGAAAUGUUUGAUGUUAUAUUGGAUGAAAAUCAGCUUGAGGACGCGUGUGAACAUCUAGGGGAGUACCUGGAGGCGUACUGGCGUGCCACCCACACAACCAGUAGCACACCCAUGACCCCACUGCUGGGAAGGAAUUUGGGCUCCACAGCACUUUCACCAUAUCCCACAGCAAUUUCUGGGUUACAGAGUCAGCGAAUGAGGCACAGCAACCACUCCACAGAGAACUCUCCAAUUGAAAGACGAAGUCUAAUGACCUCUGAUGAAAAUUAUCACAAUGAAAGGGCUCGGAAGAGUAGGAACCGCUUGUCUUCCAGUUCUCAGCAUAGCCGAGAUCAUUACCCUCUUGUGGAAGAAGAUUACCCUGACUCAUACCAGGACACUUACAAACCCCAUAGGAACCGAGGAUCACCUGGGGGAUAUAGCCAUGACUCCCGACAUAGGCUUUGAGUCUAAUGAAACAAAAAAUAUUCAUCUGUUGACAAUUUGCCAUAGCAGUGCUAGGAUAAACCAAUCAUCUUAACU